GACGAACGCUGGCGGCGUGCCUAAUACAUGCAAGUAGAACGCAGUUGCGAACGGGUGAGUAAUGUGUAGGUAUCUGCCUCUUAGCGGGGGAUACGUAUUGGAAACGCUAGUUAAUCCCGAAUCCUGUGAGAUGGACCUGCGUUGUAUUAGCUAGUUGGUGAGGUAAAGGCUCACCCAGGCGACGAUACAGAGCCGGCCUGAGCGGGUGGUCGGCCACACUGGGACUGAGACACGGCCCAGACGACGAAGGGAGGGAGACGUAGGGGAAUUUCGGCAAUGGAGGGAAAGCUUACAGAGCAACGGCGGGGGAGUGAAGGAGGUUGUCGGAUCGUAAAGCUAUGUUGUGAGAGAAGCGGUAACUAACCAGAAAGGGACGGCUAACUACGUGCCAGCAGCCGCGGUAAUAC
rnacentral:rRNA from 1 species